AAUAUUGGACAAUGGGGGCAACCCUGAUCCAGCCAUGCCGCGUGUGUGAAGAAGGUCUUCGGGUCGUAAAACUCUGUCAUUGGGGAAGAAGGACGUGACGGUACCCGAUGAGGAAGCCCCGGCUAACUACGUGCCAGCAGCCGCGGUAAUACGUAGGUGGCAAGCGUUGUCCGGAUUUAUUGGGCGUAAAGCGAGCGCAGGCGGUCUUUUAAGUCUGAUGUGAAAGCCCUCGGCUCAACCGAGGAAGGUCAUUGGAAACUGGAGGACUUGAGUGCAGAAGAGGAGAGUGGAAUUCCAUGUGUAGCGGUGAAAUGCGUAGAUAUAUGGAGGAACACCAGUGGCGAAGGCGACUCUCUGGUCUGUAACUGACGCUGAGGCUCGAAAGCGUGGGGAGCAAAC
rnacentral:rRNA from 1 species